AUGGGAAGCACCACAGCCCCAUCCGUCUUCCCCUUGGCUCCCAGCUGUGGAGCCCAUUCUGGCUCCACAGUGUCCCUGGGCUGCCUGGUCAGCGGCUACUUCCCCGAGCCGGUCACUGUGUCAUGGAACUCCGGAGCCUUGACCAGCGGUGUGCGCACCUUCCCAUCCGUUCUGCGCUCAGGGCUCUACUCGCUCAGCAGCAUGGUGACGGUGCCCUCCAGCACCUGGCCCAGCCAGACUGUCACCUGCAAUGUAGCCCACCCGGCCAGCAACACGAAGGUGGACAAGACCAUUGUGGCCAGACAAACAAAACCUGGUGGUGAAUGCACUUGUGAUAAUUGUACCAAGGGCCCAGACGUUAGACUUCUGGGAGGACCAUCUGUCUUCAUGUUUCCACCAAAGCCCCAGGACACCCUCACAAUUGCUCUGACCCCCAAGGUCACGUGUGUGGUAGUAGAUGUAAGCCAGGAAAACUCUGCAGUCCAGUUCAACUGGUUCAUGGACAAUGUGGAGGUACAAGGGGCCCAGACUCAGCCCCCGGAAGAGCAGUACAACAGCACAUUCCGUGUGGUCAGCGUCCUGCCCAUCCUGCACCAGGACUGGCUGUCAGGAAAGGAGUUCAAGUGCAAGGUCAACAACAACGACCUCCCAGCCCCCAUCGAGAAAACCAUCUCCAAAGUCAAAGGGCAAGCCCGUGAGCCACAAGUGUACACCUUUCCCCCACCAAGGGAGCAGUUGGCCAAUACAAAGUUCUCUCUGACCUGCCUGAUACAAGGAUUCUACCCUGCGGAUAUCUUUGUCGAAUGGAAGAGGAAUGGGAAGCCAGAGGAGAACUACAAGAACACCCCACCUGUCUUGGACUCUGAUGGGACCUACUUCCUCUACAGCAAGCUACAAGUAGACAAGAAUGCGUGGCAGAAAGGAGACACAUUCACCUGCUCGGUGAUGCAUGAGGCUCUGCACAACCACUUCACACAGAAGACCAUCUCCCGGUCUCCCGGUAAAUGAGAGCUGGGCCUCACAAUCCCUUACUUCCCUUCUGGGCCUCAGGUCCACACGAUGCUCACACUCAAUGCCACCCCCAACCAUGUCAAUAAAGCACCCAGUCAAUCCCUGA